GAUAAACGCUAGCGAUUAGCUUUACACAUGCAAGUCGAGGGGUAAUAUAGAUAAAUAAUAUUUAUUUUAUAACGACCGGCGAACGGGUGAGUAAAACAUAUGUAAUUUACAUAUUGUUGAAGAAUAGUCUUAUUAAUUUAAGAGUAAUACUUUAUAAUGCAAUAAAUUACUAGGAUUUAUUGUGAAAGUUUUUUUAUAUGUUUAAUUUAUUAAAUAUAUAAAUGAAUGACAAUAUAUAAGCAUAUGUCUGAUUAGUUAGUUGGUAAGGUAAUGGCUUACCAAGACAAAGAUCAGUAGGGGGCCUGAGAGGGUGUACCCCCACAUUGGUACUGGAACACGGACCAAACUUCUACGGAAGGCAGCAGUGAGGAAUAUUGGUCAAUGGAGGCAACUCUGAACCAGCUAUUUCGCGUGUAGGAUGAAGGCCUAUGGGUUGUAAACUACUUUUGUAUAAUAAUAAAAAAUUUUAUUAAAAGUAAAAUAUAUUGAAUGUUAUACGAAUAAGUAUCGGCAAACUCUGUGCCAGCAGCCGCGGUAAGACAGAGGAUGCAAGCGUUAUCCGGAAUAAUUGGGUUUAAAGGGUGCGUAGGUGGAUUUUUAAGUUAAUAAUGAAAGUUUAUAACUUAAUUAUAAAAAUGUUAUUAAUACUAAAAAUCUAGAGAUAAUAUGAAGUAAUUGGAAUAUGUGGAGUAGCGGUAAAAUGCAUAGAUAUCACAUGGAACACCAAAGGCGAAGGCAGAUUACUAAUAUUUAUUCUGACAUUGAGGCACGAAAGCGUGGGGAGCAAACAGGAUUAGAUACCCUGGUAGUCCACGCCGUAAACGAUGAUCACUAAUUGUUGGAUUUUAAAUAAUUCAGUAAUUAAGCGAAAGUGAUAAGUGAUCCACCUGGGGAGUACGAUCGCAAGAUUGAAACUCAAAGGAAUUGACGGGGAUCCGCACAAGCGGUGGAGCAUGUGGUUUAAUUCGAUAAUACGCGAGAAAUCUUACCAAGAUUUAAAUGUGUAACGAAUAAUUUAGAAAUAAAUUAGUCUACGGACGUUACACAAGAUGCUGCAUGGUUGUCGUCAGCUCGUGCCGUGAGGUGUAAGGUUAAGUCCUUUAACGAGCGCAACCCUUAUCAUUAGUUGCUAACAGAUAAUGCUGAGGAAUCUAAUGAGACAGCUAACGUAAGUUAAGAGGAAGGAGAGGAUGACGUCAAAUCAUCAUGGCUCUUAUAUCUUGGGCAACACACGUGCUACAAUGGUUGAUACAAAGAGUAGCAAUUAGGUAACUAGGAGCGAAUCUAAAAAAUCAAUCUCAGUUCGGAUUGAAGUCUGUAACUCGACUUUAUGAAGAUGGAAUCGCUAGUAAUCGCGUAUCAGCAAUGACGCGGUGAAUAAGUUCUCGGGUCUUGUACACACCGCCCGUCAAGCCAUGGAAGUUAAUAUUAUUUGAAGUUAAUAACUGUAAAAAGUAUUAAUUAGAGUAAGAUUAAUAACUAGGGCU
rnacentral:rRNA from 1 species